rnacentral:rRNA from 1 species
UACGUAGGGGGCAAGCGUUGUCCGGAAUCAUUGGGCGUAAAGCGCGUGUAGGCGGCUCGAUAAGUCUGCUGUGAAAGUCCAAGGCUCAACCUUGGGAUGCCGGUGGAUACUGUCGAGCUCGAGUCCGGAAGAGGAGUGUGGAAUUCCUGGUGUAGCGGUGAAAUGCGCAGAUAUCAGGAGGAACACCAAUGGCGAAGGCAGCACUCUGGGACGUGACUGACGCUGAGGAGCGAAAGCGUGGGUAGCAAACAGG